rnacentral:pre_miRNA from 9 species
UAUCGAUAGCGUAAAAGUUCACUCAAAUCUAUAUGGAGUUGGAACGUUUGCUUACAUAUGGCGAAAGGGGCGCUGUUCCAACUGCAUACACAUUUGAGUUAACUUUUACGCUAUCGA